AGAGUUUGAUCCUGGCUCAGAAUCAACGCUGGCGGCGUGCCUCAGACAUGCAAGUCGAACGCGAAAGUCCCCUUCGGGGGACGAGUAGAGUGGCGCACGGGUGAGUAACACGUAGGUAAUCUACCUCUGGGUGGGGAAUAACAGCCGGAAACGGCUGCUAAUACCGCAUAAUGCAGCGGCACCACAUGGUGACAGUUGUUAAAGCGGGGGAUCGUACCACCUCGCGCCUAGAGAUGAGCCUGCGGCGGAUUAGCUAGUUGGCAGGGUAACGGCCUACCAAGGCAACGAUCCGUAGCCGGCCUGAGAGGGCGGACGGCCACACUGGCACUGACAUACGGGCCAGACUCCUACGGGAGGCAGCAGUCGGGAAUUUUGGGCAAUGGGCGAAAGCCUGACCCAGCAACGCCGCGUGAAGGAUGAAUCUUUUCGGAGUGUAAACUUCAUAAGAAUGGGACGAAUAAGUGGGGGGAUAACACCCCCCAUGAUGACGGUACCAUUUGUAAGCUCCGGCUAACUCCGUGCCAGCAGCCGCGGUAAUACGGGGGGAGCAAGCGUUGUUCGUAUUUACUGGGCGUAAAGGGCGCGUAGGCGGCGCAACAAGUCACUUGUGAAAUCUCCGGGCUUAACCCGGAGCGGCCAAGUGAUACUGUCGUGCUAGAGUGCGGA
rnacentral:rRNA from 1 species